GGGGCCUUAGCUCAGUUGGCAGAGCGCCUGCUUUGCAAGCAGGAAGUCAGGGGUUCGAAUCCCCUAGGCUCCACC
rnacentral:tRNA from 1 species